AGCAUAUCAAUAAGCGGAGGAAAAGAAACUAACAAGGAUUCCCCUAGUAACUGCGAGUGAAGCGGGAAAAGCUCAAAUUUAAAAUCUGGUGGUCUUUGGCCAUCCGAGUUGUAGUCUGGAGAAGUGCUUUCCGCGUUGGACCGUGUACAAGUCUCUUGGAACAGAGCGUCAUAGAGGGUGAGAAUCCCGUCUUUGACACGGACUACCAAUGCUUUGUGAUGCGCUCUCAAAGAGUCGAGUUGUUUGGGAAUGCAGCUCAAAAUGGGUGGUAAAUUCCAUCUAAAGCUAAAUAUUGGCGAGAGACCGAUAGCGAACAAGUACCGUGAGGGAAAGAUGAAAAGCACUUUGGAAAGAGAGUUAAACAGUACGUGAAAUUGCUGAAAGGGAAACGCUUGAAGUCAGUCGCGUUGGCCGGAACUCAGCCUUGCUUUUGCUAGGUGCACUUUCUGGUUGACGGGCCAGCAUCAAUUUUGAUUGUUGGAUAAAGGUUGGGGGAAUGUGGCACCUUCGGGUGUGUUAUAGCCCUCAGUCACAUACAACAGUUGGGAUUGAGGAUCUCAGCACGCCUUUAUGGCCGGGGUUCGCCCACGUUCGUGCUUAGGAUGCUGGCAUAAUGGCUUUAAACGACCCGUCUUGAAACACGGACCAAGGAGUCUAACAUGCCUGCGAGUGUUUGGGUGGAAAACCCGAGCGCGUAAUGAAAGUGAAAGUUGGGAUCUCUGUCAUGGAGAGCACCGACGCCCGGACCUGACCUUCUGUGACGGCUCCGCGGUAGAGCAUGUAUGUUGGGACCCGAAAGAUGGUGAACUAUGCCUGAAUAGGGUGAAGCCAGAGGAAACUCUGGUGGAGGCUCGUAGCGAUUCUGACGUGCAAAUCGAUCGUCAAAUUUGGGUAUAGGGGCGAAAGACUAAUCGAACCAUCUAGUAGCUGGU
rnacentral:rRNA from 1 species